UUUGAGCAUCACGAGCGGUGUUGAGGGAACAGGCCCUUUGAAACGCCCGGCAACCUGGUUCAGCCACCAAGGUGCCACUGCCUUCCGAAAGGAAACGAUGCGGCCUGCAGAGGCAAAGAAUGGCUCAGAG
rnacentral:ncRNA from 1 species